rnacentral:lncRNA from 1 species
AUUUUCUGGGAUAAGUAGAGAACCUCUAUCUCUAGUUUUGAAAAGUCUUGGCCCCCAACCUAAAAAAAAAAAAAAAAAAUAUAUAAAAAAAAGAAAUCGAAAAAAAAAAAGAAAAAGAAAAGAAAAAGGGGGGCUAGCAAAGUUGUUAGGAGCUAAGAAAUAUUUUGAGGUUGUGGAAAAUCCCUUGUAGAUUUCAAAGAGAAAGAGUUAAAGUUUUUAGGAUCUUUUGGUGAGAGACGUGACUUGGGUUUGAUAUUGGGAAAUGUUUGUGUAAUUUGUAUGUUUGGGAAAAGGGUAGAACAAUGGAGAUUGAGCAUUGUAUGCAUGAGUUGAUUCCUUUCUUAGAUAUAUUAUGUGCAAUGUCAAGGCUACUUGUUUCGA